CCUACGGGAGGCAGCAGUAGGGAAUAUUGCGCAAUGGGGGAAACCCUGAAGCAGCAACGCCGCGUGGAGGAUGAAGGUUUUCGGAUUGUAAACUCCUUUUGUUAGAGAAGAAAAUGACGGUAUCUAACGAAUAAGCACCGGCGAACACCGUGCCAGCAGCCGCGGUAAUACGGAGGGUGCAAGCGUUAUUCGGAAUCACUGGGCGUAAGGAGCGCGUAGGCGGGAUAGCAAGUCAGAUGUGAAAUCCUAUGGCUUAACCAUAGAACUGCAUUUGAAACUGUUAUUCUAGAGUAUGGGAGAGGUAGGUGGAAUUCUUGGUGUAGGGGUAAAAUCCGUAGAGAUCAAGAGGAAUACUCAUUGCGAAGGCGACCUGCUAGGACAUAACUGACGCUGAUGCGCGAAAGCGUGGGGAGCAAACAGGAUUAGAUACCCUAGUAGUC
rnacentral:rRNA from 1 species